rnacentral:rRNA from 1 species
UACAGAGGGUGCAAGCGUUAAUCGGAAUUACUGGGCGUAAAGGGCGCGUAGGCGGCCAUCUAAGUCAGACGUGAAAUCCCUCGGCUCAACCGAGGAACUGCGUCUGAUACUGGAAGGCUUGAAUCCGGGAGAGGGAUGUGGAAUUCCAGGUGUAGCGGUGAAAUGCGUAGAUAUCUGGAGGAACACCGAUGGCGAAGGCAGCUCACUGGGACGGUACUGACGCUGAGACGCGAAAGCGUGGGGAGCAAACAGG